AGAUAUUCUUCCCGAAGAUGUUGCACGUUUCUAUGUAGCAGAGAGCAUUUUGGCUAUUCAUUCAAUUCACCAACACAACUAUAUCCAUAGGGACAUUAAACCAGAUAACCUGAUACUAGAUAGGAAUGGGCAUUUGAAGCUUUCAGAUUUUGGCUUAUGUAAACCCCUAGAUGAAAAGUAUUCAUCAAUUCUGUUGAAGAUGAAAAUUUAACUUCCACGGAAUCUGCCAAUGAAGCUGCAAUCCAGUCAGACUCUGGAAGAGCCCCUUGGUUGAUGCCAAAAGAACAACUACAACAGUGGAAACGGAAUCGCCGUGCACUGGCUUAUUACACAGUCGGGACUCUUGAUUACAUGGCUCCUGAAGUUCUAAUAAAGAAGGGUUAUGAAAUGGAGUGUGAUUGGUGGUCUCUGGGUGCAAUCAUGUAUGAGAUGCUCGUCGGCUAUCCUCCAUUUUGUUCUGAUGAUCCUCGGAUAACAUGCCGAAAGAUAAUCAAUUGGA